GAUGGCCAUAUCACAUUGAAACACCAGUUCCAAUCUGAUCGCUGAAGUUAAGCAACAUUGAACUUGAUCAGUACCUAGAUAGGUGACUGCUUGGGAAUACCAGGU